AACUGUAGACAAUUUGAGUCUAGCAGUAAUAAGCCUUGAUAAUAAAUUAUUCAAGAACUUGGCUAGAAUUUCAAAAGGCGACUUUGACUUUCUCUUAAACAAAAUUGGACCAAAAAUAAAAAGAAAUGAUACAAACAUGAGAACAGCAAUACCUGUUUCAUCGCCAUCACGAGAUUUGCGAUAACUCUACGGUUUUUGGCAACAGGAGAUUCAUUUAAAAGUUUUAUGUACCUGUUCCGUGUUAGAUGUUAGAUUUCAAGUAGAGUGUUAGAUUUCAACUUUUAUACAAGAGGUGUGUACAGCUAUUAUAGAAGGAUUAAAAUAAUACAUCAAGAUGCCGUCAGGAGUAACAGAAUGGAAACAAGUUGCAAAAGAUUUCGAGGGAAGAAGUUCAAUUUAUCAAUCGAUAUGAUACAUACGUAAUACAGAGAUAUGUACAUUUAUAAUGACUAAAAUAUUUUAUUAAAGAUACUUACGUUAGAA